AAAAAAUUUUUAUAGUUUAAAAAUUUAUUAUAGGUUUAUUUUACAUAUAAAUUUUAGUGUUAUAUUUAUUUUAUUUAAAUAAUAUUUUAUUUUAAUUAAAAGUAGUAAUUAAAAUUAAAAAUCUAAGAAAUUAAGAUUUAGUAAUAUUUUAAUUAAUAACUAAUUUUGUGCCAGCAGUUGCGGUUAUACAAAAAUUAAAUUAAAUUUUUUUAGGAAUUAAUAAUUAAUUGAUAAUAAGAUAAGAUUAAAUUUUAAAUUAUUGGGUGAAAUCUUAAUUAAUUAAAAUUUUAUAUUAAAUUAUGAAAUUAAGAAAUUUUAUUAAAAACUAGGAUUAGAUACCCUAUUAUAAAAAAUUUAAGUUAAUAAUACUAAAAUAGUAUGUAAUUAUUUAUAAAAACUUAAAUAAUUUGGCGGUAUUUUAGUUUAUUUAGAGGAAUCUGUUUAUUAAUUGAUAUUCCACGAAUAAAUUUACUUAAUUUAUUUUUUUUUGUAUAUCGUUGUUAGAAAAAUAUUUUUAAAUAAAAAUAAUAUUUUAAUUUUUUAAAUAAAAAUAAAAUCAGAUCAAGAUGCAGAUUAUAAUUAAGAAUAUAAUGGAUUACAAUAAAUUUAUUUAAGUGAAUAUUAAUUUAAAAAGUUAAUUGAAAUUGGAUUUAAAUGUAAUUUUAUUUAAUUUAUUAAAAUGAUUUUAAUUUAAAAUAUGUACAUAUUGCCCGUCGCUUUCAUUUAUAAAUUGAAAUAAGUCGUAACAAAGUAGAGGUACUGGAAAGUGUUUCUAGAAAGAC
rnacentral:ncRNA from 1 species